CAACAACACAAAGGAGACUUCCACCUGUGCCUCAGAGAUGUGAUUCAAUCCAUAGUCAAGAACGUCGCACCAGUUCCAUCAUGUCUUACAACAGUGACACCUUAACAUCCCAAAAGGACAGAGAAGCUAGCAAGAGUAAUGGCAAGACUAAACCAUAUGAUGAGAUACCUGCAGAACCAGAAUAUACCAAUGACAAUCCAGUUGCAUCCACAAUACUAAAGGGACAACAAAUACAAGAUACCUAUCUACAACCAACAUAGUAGAUGUUCCAUGACUAUUGUUAAAUGAUUCUCUCUCACACCAAAUCUCAUACAAUACUAUAUAUUCAUAUAAAAAUAUCAACUCUAUGUUUCUUUCACACAUCACACAUAAAAGGCCUUACAGUGGCAUCUACUAUGACUCCCAAUUUACAUCUCUGAUACAUGAAAUACAAGAAAUGACUACAUUACUUUAGUUAUUUUAUAAGAUAGUUAUUUUACUCUUAGUUUUGCUAUAGAAGUUUCACUAAACAUAUAUAAAUUAAUUAGGGUCAU